CACGUAGGGGGCGAGCGUUGUCCGGAUUUAUUGGGCGUAAAGAGCUCGUAGGCGGUUUCGUAAGUCGGAUGUGAAAACUCCAGGCUCAACUUGGAGACGCCAUUCGAUACUGCGAUGACUUGAGUCCGGUAGGGGAGUGUGGAAUUCCUGGUGUAGCGGUGAAAUGCGCAGAUAUCAGGAGGAACACCAGCGGCGAAGGCGGCACUCUGGGCCGGUACUGACGCUGAGACGCGAAAGCGUGGGGAGCGAACAGG
rnacentral:rRNA from 1 species